rnacentral:rRNA from 1 species
GUAACACGUGAGUAACCUGCCCUUAACUCUGGGAUAAGCCUGGGAAACUGGGUCUAAUACCGGAUAUGACUCCUCAUCGCAUGGUGGGGGGUGGAAAGCUUUAUUGUGGUUUUGGAUGGACUCGCGGCCUAUCAGCUUGUUGGUGAGGUAAUGGCUCACCAAGGCGACGACGGGUAGCCGGCCUGAGAGGGUGACCGGCCACACUGGGACUGAGACACGGCCCAGACUCCUACGGGAGGCAGCAGUGGGGAAUAUUGCACAAUGGGCGCAAGCCUGAUGCAGCGACGCCGCGUGAGGGAUGACGGCCUUCGGGUUGUAAACCUCUUUCAGUAGGGAAGAAGCGAAAGUGACGGUCCCUGCAGAAGAAGCGCCGGCUAACUACGUGCCAGCAGCCGCGGUAAUACGUAGGGCGCAAGCGUUAUCCGGAAUUAUUGGGCGUAAAGAGCUCGUAGGCGG